CUUUCUCUCUGUUGCUAGGUUAUUUGUCAACAGAACAGAAGGUAUUGUGGUUCUUGGGAAAUGCUGGAUGUAAUAUUAAUAAUUAUCUUGUGAAGAAACCGUGUUGCUAUCUUCCACAGCUGGUUUGCUUCCUGCAUUUUAGAAACAGCAUAAGGAUGGGAGAAUACUGGAAAAGAAAUCACAGCACUUGCUGUGAUCCCAAACUUCUGUGCAUACAAGUGCCUUCAUCUGCUCAGGACUCCCCUUUAAUGAAGGACUUGAAGAGAGGACAGAAAGGCUACUUUUACAGCAUUAUGAGAAUAUAUGACAGCAAAGCGCCGAGGGAAAUGUUGUACCGUCGCUAUGCGAUCAAUCUCCAGUGCCAGAACGUGCUGGGGCUCAUCACAAAGCAGCAAGUCGAAUGUUACGCCUCCUACCUGAAAGAUUCACAAUCCUACAGAAGGUCAAGGUUGGGGACAGCGCCUCCUGUGAAGGCAGUCUUCAGGAAGGCACAGCUGGGGCUUUUUAAUCAAAUAUGACUCAAAGAAACCAAAAGGACUCACACUCAGUGGAAAGAAGAGAGAAGGUAGGGGGGAAGAGGAUGAAUAACCUUUCCUCAUUUGUGAGAACUGUACACUAAACCUUAUUUCUCAUGUCACACUCUGCAAGAACUAACAUCCAGAUGCCUACAAAGGAGGUUGAAUGGCUCUUCGUUCUUUUUUUUUUAAUGCAUAUCCAUUUCUUUCUUUCUUUUUAAAAAGUGAUCAGAAUUUGCAUCAUUUUAUAUACCUUAUGUGCACCUGGAUAUUUUAGAAUUUGCCAUGCAUAGGAAAGAAAAAACCCAACCCUGAUCAGGGAAGGGAGAGUGUAAUACCAGAAACUCAGGAUGGAUAAGUGUGGGACAUUAAGGACAUAUAGAUAUGGGAGCCUGACCAGAAGCAGUGAAGGGGGUUCUGGCAGUCAGUAAGAACACAGACGUUCUCAGCAGUGGAGGUUUUCCACAUUUUUUGAAACCUUUAUACAUAAGCAUGAAGGCUAGAAGUGUGCUUAAAUAAAAUGGAAGCUGUGCAAUUUUUAUGAAAAUGAAUUCUGUCCCAGACUUACUCUGAGAUUUUGCAUGAGCAAGAAGCUGUGUAAAUACAUCUGUUACCACAGCCUGAAAACUUGAUAAACAUGUACUUAAUAGGAAGACUAUCUUAGAGAGAGAAAACAGUACAAAGCCAGAACUUUGGCUGGUGAUGUAGCACAAAUUGAUUAAUGCAGUUCCAGUCUAAAUGGACAUUGUAUAUAUUGUGGACAUUAUGGACAUUAUAUAGGAUUUCAUAUUAGUUCAUUGUAACACAUGCAUUACAAUUAUUACUGGAAUUGUCAAAAUAUUCUCUCUCUCUCUCUCUCUCUCUGAUUUCUUGAUACCAUAUUUAAAUAUGAGAUGACUAAUAUUACAAAUAAAAUACUUGUGCUAUAUUGAUAGUUUUAAAAAUCCAUUUUUCAUUCUUGGCAAGUGAUAUUUUCCUGGGAAAAGUUUGCACUAUGCCUUUCUUGAGACCUUUGUGAAGGGUACAAGUGAACAAAGUACUUUCACUAGCUUGUUGUUCAUUUACUGUAAAUUAGGACAACCCAGCCUUUCUGGCUUGUUACAUCCAAAUGCUUCCGUUGUCUCAAACCACCCACAGAAGUCCUAUGAUUUGUUAAAGGAAAGGUUUAAUUUCCAAGUCCACUUCACUUUUAUUGCUUUCCCAACUGCAUUCUUAUAGCCAAAUCCAUACUAUUUAUGUGUCACUUCUCCCCCAGUGCAAUGCUUUGCUGAUUUCACAAGGUGAUGCUAUAAAAUUUUGCAAGAAAUUGGUUGUCAACAAAAAAAAAAAUAUAUGACUGCUUUGGCAGCAGUAGUCCCAAUUUCCUGAAACUUCUGAAAAAGGAAGAUGUGUGAAGUUUCUGGCUGUAAUGUGCCUCAUUCCAGAGUUCCUUGUUCUCUCAUACCCUUUUAUUUGCCCUUUUGUGAACUUCAUUUGUUUGCCCCUUGUUCCUUUGUUCUCCUUCUGAUCCAAGAGAGAUCUAUUAAAUGUGGAGUCAGAAGCUUUCAUGGCCGGGAUCCAUAAUUUUGUGUGGGAUUUUCAUGC